CUGAAUUUUGACGUAAUUUCUUGUGAUGUAGCUAGCAGGUGGUGGAGGUGUAUUUAAAAGUCAGCAGCACCCUCACAGCGAUUAGGAUGUCCUCCGUCUGCUAGUCUUCUUGAUUCUUGAAUUCUGUGGAGCUCAAAUAGAUAACAAAGCUUUGGAACUGAUUAGGUGUUAGCAUAAAUAUCUAGCCUUUAUCAUAUUGAGCCUCCUCAAUAAAUGCUACUUUCUUGGGUAGGAUCACAAUCUUAUUUUUAUAUUUUCAUUUUUCUAGAGCAGAAAAAAUAUUUAUUUUAUAUUUAUGCCACCACAGUGAAUGUACUUAUGGGUUUUAUGCCACUCGUAUACUCACAUGGAGCUUACUGUUUUUAACAUUUUUUUAUUUCCUUUUUAAGAUAGUAUGAACAUGAUUGACUAAGCAAACU
rnacentral:lncRNA from 1 species